rnacentral:rRNA from 1 species
GAAGUGCGAAUGCUGACAUAAGUAACGAUAAAGCGGGUGAAAAGCCCGCUCGCCGGAAGACCAAGGGUUCCUGUCCAACGUUAAUCGGGGCAGGGUGAGUCGACCCCUAAGGCGAGGCCGAAAGGCGUAGUCGAUGGGAAACAGGUUAAUAUUCCUGUACUUGGUGUUACUGCGAAGGGGGGACGGAGAAGGCUAUGUUGGCCGGGCGACGGUUGUCCCGGUUUAAGCGUGUAGGCUGGUUUUCCAGGCAAAUCCGGAAAACUAAGGCUGAGGCGUGAUGACGAGGCACUACGGUGCUGAAGCAACAAAUGCCCUGCUUCCAGGAAAAGCCUCUAAGCAUCAGGUAACAUCAAAUCGUACCCCAAACCGACACAGGUGGUCAGGUAGAGAAUACCAAGGCGCUUGAGAGAACUCGGGUGAAGGAACUAGGCAAAAUGGUGCCGUAACUUCGGGAGAAGGCACGCUGAUAUGUAGGUGAAGCGACUUGCUCGUGGAGCUGAAAUCAGUCGAAGAUACCAGCUGGCUGCAACUGUUUAUUAAAAACACAGCACUGUGCAAACACGAAAGUGGACGUAUACGGUGUGACGCCUGCCCGGUGCCGGAAGGUUAAUUGAUGGGGUCAGCGCAAGCGAAGCUCUUGAUCGAAGCCCCGGUAAACGGCGGCCGUAACUAUAACGGUCCUAAGGUAGCGAAAUUCCUUGUCGGGUAAGUUCCGACCUGCACGAAUGGCGUAAUGAUGGCCAGGCUGUCUCCACCCGAGACUCAGUGAAAUUGAACUCGCUGUGAAGAUGCAGUGUACCCGCGGCAAGACGGAAAGACCCCGUGAACCUUUACUAUAGCUUGACACUGAACAUUGAGCCUUGAUGUGUAGGAUAGGUGGGAGGCUUUGAAGUGUGGACGCCAGUCUGCAUGGAGCCGACCUUGAAAUACCACCCUUUAAUGUUUGAUGUUCUAACGUGGACCCGUAAUCCGGGUUGCGGACAGUGUCUGGUGGGUAGUUUGACUGGGGCGGUCUCCUCCUAAAGAGUAACGGAGGAGCACGAAGGUUGGCUAAUCCUGGUCGGACAUCAGGAGGUUAGUGCAAUGGCAUAAGCCAGCUUGACUGCGAGCGUGACGGCGCGAGCAGGUGCGAAAGCAGGUCAUAGUGAUCCGGUGGUUCUGAAUGGAAGGGCCAUCGCUCAACGGAUAAAAGGUACUCCGGGGAUAACAGGCUGAUACCGCCCAAGAGUUCAUAUCGACGGCGGUGUUUGGCACCUCGAUGUCGGCUCAUCACAUCCUGGGGCUGAAGUAGGUCCCAAGGGUAUGGCUGUUCGCCAUUUAAAGUGGUACGCGAGCUGGGUUUAGAACGUCGUGAGACAGUUCGGUCCCUAUCUGCCGUGGGCGCUGGAGAACUGAGGGGGGCUGCUCCUAGUACGAGAGGACCGGAGUGGACGCAUCACUGGUGUUCGGGUUGUCAUGCCAAUGGCACUGCCCGGUAGCUAAAUGCGGAAGAGAUAAGUGCUGAAAGCAUCUAAGCACGAAACUUGCCCCGAGAUGAGUUCUCCCUGACUCCUUGAGAGUCCUGAAGGAACGUUGAAGACGACGACGUUGAUAGGCCGGGUGUGUAAGCGCAGCGAUGCGUUGAGCUAACCGGUACUAAUGAACCGUGAGG